rnacentral:pre_miRNA from 1 species
GUUGAGGGGAAUGUUGUCUGGAUCGAGGAUAUUAUACAUAUAUACAUGUGUAUAUAUGUUGAUACAAGUGAUCAUAGAGAGUAUCCUCGGACCAGGCUUCAUCCCCCCCAAC